GAUGAACGCUGGCGGCGUGCCUAAUACAUGCAAGUCGAGCGAACGGACGAGAAGCUUGCUUUUCUGAUGUUAGCGGCGGACGGGUGAGUAACACGUGGAUAACCUACCUAUAAGACUGGGAUAACUUCGGGAAACCGGAGCUAAUACCGGAUAAUAUUUUGAACCGCAUGGUUCAAAAGUGAAAGACGGUCUUGCUGUCACUUAUAGAUGGAUCCGCGCUGCAUUAGCUAGUUGGUAAGGUAACGGCUUACCAAGGCAACGAUGCAUAGCCGACCUGAGAGGGGGAUCGGCCGCACUGGAACUGAGACACGGUCCAGACUCCUACGGGAGGCAGCAGUAGGGAAUCUUCCGCAAGGGGCGAAAGCCGGACGGAGCAACGCCGCGUGAGUGAUGAAGGUCUUCGGAUCGUAAAACUCUGUUAUUAGGGAAGAACAUAUGUGUAAGUAACUGUGCACAUCUUGACGGUACCUAAUCAGAAAGCCACGGCUAACUACGU
rnacentral:rRNA from 1 species